rnacentral:rRNA from 1 species
UUAACUGAAGAGUUUGAUCAUGGCUCAGAUUGAACGCUGGCGGCAGGCCUAACACAUGCAAGUCGAGCGGAAACGAUCCUAGCUUGCUAGGAGGCGUCGAGCGGCGGACGGGUGAGUAACACGUGAGAAUCUGCCCAUUAGUG